GAAACGACUGCUAAGACUGGAUAGGAAAUAAAAAGGCAUCUUUUUAUUUUUAAAAGACCUUUUUCGGAAGGUAUGCUUAAAGAGGGGCUUGCGUCACAUUAGUUAGUUGGCAGGGUAAAGGCCUACCAAGACUAUGAUGUGUAGCUGGACUGAGAGGUUGAACAGCCACAUUGGGACUGAGACACGGCCCAAACUCCUACGGGAGGCAGCAGUAGGGAAUUUUCGGCAAUGGAGGAAACUCUGACCGAGCAACGCCGCGUGAACGAUGAAGUAUUUCGGUAUGUAAAGUUCUUUUAUUGAAGAAGAAAAAAUAGUGGAAAAACUAUCUUGACGAUAUUCAAUGAAUAAGCCCCGGCAAACUAUGUGCCAGCAGCCGCGGUAAUACAUAGGGGGCGAGCGUUAUCCGGAAUUAUUGGGCGUAAAGGGUGCGUAGGCGGUUUAAUAAGUCUAUAGUUUAAUUUCAGUGCUUAACACUGUCCUGCUAUAGAAACUAUUAGACUAGAGUGAGAUAGAGGCAAGUGGAAUUCCAUGUGUAGCGGUAAAAUGCGUAAAUAUAUGGAGGAACACCAGAGGCGUAGGCGGCUUGCUGGGUCUUUACUGACGCUGAGGCACGAAAGCGUGGGGAGCAAACAGGAUUAGAUACCCUGGUAGUCCACGCCGUAAACGAUGAGUACUAAGUGUCGGGAUUACUCGGUACUGAAGUUAACACAUUAAGUACUCCGCCUGAGUAGUACGUACGCAAGUAUGAAACUUAAAGGAAUUGACGGGACUCCGCACAAGCGGUGGAUCAUGUUGUUUAAUUCGAAGAUACACGAAAAACCUUACCAGGUCUUGACAUACUCUGCAAAGCUAUAGCAAUAUAGUGGAGGUUAUCAGGGAUACAGGUGGUGCAUGGUUGUCGUCAGCUCGUGUCGUGAGAUGUUAGGUUAAGUCCUAAAACGAGCGCAACCCUUGUCAUUAGUUGCCAGCAUGUCAUGAUGGGCACUUUAAUGAGACUGCCAAUGAAAAAUUGGAGGAAGGUGAGGAUCACGUCAAAUCAUCAUGCCCCUUAUGAUCUGGGCUACAAACGUGAUACAAUGGCUGUUACAAAGAGUAGCUGAAACGCAAGUUUAUAGCCAAUCUCAUAAAAGCAGUCUCAGUUCGGAUUGAAGUCUGCAACUCGACUUCAUGAAGUUGGAAUCGCUAGUAAUCGCGAAUCAGCAUGUCGCGGUGAAUACGUUCUCGGGGUUUGUACACACCGCCCGUCA
rnacentral:rRNA from 5 species